rnacentral:rRNA from 1 species
UGGGGAAUCUUGCACAAUGGGGGCAACCCUGAUGCAGCGACGCCGCGUGAGCGAUGAAGCCCUUCGGGGCGUAAAGCUCUUUCGACCGGAACGAUAAUGACGGUACCGGGAGAAGGAGCUGCGGCUAACUACGUGCCAGCAGCCGCGGUAAUACGUAGGCAGCAAGCGUUGUUCGGAGUUACUGGGCGUAAAGAGUGCGUAGGCGGUUUUCUAAGUUCGGUGUGAAAUCUCCCGGCUUAACUGGGAGGGUGCGCCGAAGACUGGGAAGCUGGAGUGUGGGAAAGGCAGGCGGAAUUCCUGGUGUAGCGGUGAAAUGCGUAGAUAUCAGGAGGAACACCGGCGGUGUAGACGGCUUGCUAGACCAUAACUGACACUGAGGCACGAAAGCGUGGGUAGCAAACA